rnacentral:rRNA from 1 species
CCUACGGGCGGCAGCAGUGGGGAAUAUUGCACAAUGGGGGAAACCCUGAUGCAGCGACGCCGCGUGAGUGAAGACGUAUUUCGGUAUGUAAAGCUCUAUCAGCCGAGAAGCAAUAGCGACCUUUGGAUCGCCAGACGGUACCUGAUUACGAAGCCCCGGCUAACUCCGUGCCAGCAGCCGCGGUAUUACGUGGGGGGCAAGCGUUAUCCGGAUUUACUGGGGGUAAAGGGGGCGUAGACGGCCGGGUAAGUCAGCGGUGAAAUCCCGGGGCUCAACCCCGUCACGGCGUUGAAACUGCUGGCCUGGAGUGGGAGAGAAGUAUGCGGAAGGCGUGGUGUAGCGGUGAAAUGCUUAGAUAUCGAGCAGAACCCCGAUUGCGAAGGCAGCAUACCGGCGCGAAACUGACGCUCAGGCACGAAAGCGUGGGUAUCGAACAGGAUUAGAUACCCCGGUAGUC